ACAGGCAUGUAUUGGUACAAGGGUGGUUGCUAGUGAGAGUCUAUCAGCAAUUAGGAAAGAUGUCCUAUCAAAGUGUUACGGGGGCGACAUUACUAGGAAAAAGAAGCUGCUUAAGAAGCAGGCCGAAGGCAAGAAGAGAAUGAAAGCAAUUGGCAAGGUCGAAGUGCCCCAAGAAGCCUUCAUGGCUGUCCUGAAACUUGAGAAGGAGGUGAUAUGAUAACUGUGAUCGUAUUUAAUCCAUGGAGUUGCUUCGUUUGGUCACCGUGGAACUUCCGUUCAGGGUUUGGCUCUCUCAUCAUUUCACAUGAAAUCCUCUUCAUUGAUCUCCCUGUGGAAACUCACCACCAUAUUUUAUUGACAUAAGCAGUCCUAUGGUGAGCAUUAUUUCACAUUUUGUUCCCUUUUGCAAGAGUUUCUUUAGGAAACUUCUAAUUAUGUACUAUUAUUAUCUUGUAUUGAU